CCACCCCCCAAAACCCAUCUCCUCUCUCGCAUCCCAGCAAACCCUUGGGACCAGCCCUAACUCUGCCAUCCACCGACGUCUGCCGCCUACAGGAAAUCGUCUACGGUGGCGGCGGGUCUCUAAUGACCACUAAAAUAACAACAUAGCUUCCUCUCCUUCUCCUCUUUUCAAAUCCUUACUCCUUUUCCCUCGAAUCCCGCCUAAAACUCUUUGAAUCUUGCUCAGAAGCUUUGAACCCUCUGCCGUGUCCGGCGGCGCCACCACUAAUCGACCCCAUAUUAACACCACAUGUUCUCCAUCACCUCCUCACUAUCAAUAUCCAUAUAGCUUCCCUCGAAUCCACGCCAAACCCUCUGAAUCUUGAAUAGAAGGAUUCCAUCCAAAACACCAAGUCACCAAAAAAGCCCCAAACUUACACCAGACAACCACCGCACCCCCACACCUCGUAUCUUUUACCAAUUACCCUAGAAAUCUCUCCAAAAUCAUUGGAUGGAAGAUCCGAGAUUCCAUAAGAGGCUCUGGCUCGAAGUCACCAGUUAUGCAUGGCCAGGUCGUACCUUCCUUUGCUUGCAAUACCUCUUUCUGUUGUUUGUCUCUUGUUUUGAUUUCUUCUUUUUCAUUUUUUGUUUUGGUUAAAUUCUGAUUGUCUUCUUGCUUGAAUGAGUUUCAAGUUGAAAUGAUUCAUUUAGUCUGUUUAAGUUAAUUUGAGCGUUUCACUGUCCAAAAUAAUUUGGUUUCAUUUGCCAAGAUAUGACAUUUUUAGUCUCAUAUAACCUUUUUGUAUUGAUCUUUUACUUCCACUAUUCAUUAGUUAAUUAGAAUAGGUUUAGUGGUUAAUUUGGAUGUUGAUUAAUUGUUCCAAUCUGAGUUCACCGGUAUUGUUUGCUCACAUGUUUGAUUAAUCUUGAUUAGUAAAUUUUAGUUGGAGUUUCUGAGUACAAUUUGAACCAUAAAUUAAAUUCAAAGUUGAAAUGCAAUACCACUUAGCCAAAUAUCUUAAAAUGGUCGUAAUUAAUUUGAAAUCAGAAUAAAGGGCAAUACUAAAAUAAUCAGUUAUUAAAAGGGUAAAAUUUAACUUUUACAUUAGGCUAAAUCAGAAUUUUCUAGAACUUGGGACAACUGUCCUUAUACUUAGCCAGUGCUGAUAUUGGAUAAGAGGAAAAAGACAAUGCAACUGUAAAAUAUGUUGUAUUAGGUCAGUAUAUUCCUUUCUUAGAUGCUUUUAGGGCAUUCUAUAAAAAGGAACACUCCGUCAGUCUCACAUAGAGGCGAGAGUACCAAUUUACUGCACAAAAUCAUUCUCUCUUCUGCUAAAAAAAUACCUAGGCUUCAAAUUUUAGAAAACUUUUCUUCCUGGUUUUUUCUCAAAAAGCUGAAAAGAUGACUUGAAAUAGAAAGUUCUCUCCUCGCCUCCUUUGGAUAGAAUCUCUGGGUUUCUAAGGUUGAACUUGGGUGUGAUUUAGUUGUGGUUUUUUUGUUUGCUGCUGCUCAUUAUAUUGGGAAAUGCUCAACUGUUUCAGUAACCUUUAUCUAGUCUUUUCUUUAAAUCUUCUCUAGGUAUGUAACUAAGCUUCAGCUAUAAAAAUGACUCUAUUUGUGCAAUCUGAAUUUACUCAUACCUAUGUGUGUAUGGAUGCAUAUGUUAGCAAUAGGAAUUAUUGUAUCUAUUCCUCAUCUUUCAUCAGCUUUUCUUGUGCUCCUCUCUGCAUUUCAGCAUGAAAAAAAUGUUAUUUAAAUCACAUAAGCAACUGUAUCUUAUCUCAUGGCAGUAUCCAGGUUCAAUAUGCAAUGCUUUUUCUUAUUUACUUCAUAUGGUUUUUUUAACUCUAAAAACAUUGCUUUUCAUUUGUCCUUUAACUGAUUGGUUGUAAGCUACAACCUAUUUGUUUAGCCACUAGUUGGUUGAACCAAUUAGCUUUGAAAGCUUUUAAAAUUGGAUCAAAUAUUGAGAAAAGAAGAUAUUGAGAUUUUAAGUUCAAAACCUAUAAUAGUUUGUGUGUUUAACUUUCAAUAUAGUUAAACUCAAGAGUAGUCUUAUUUUAUUAUUGCAUUAUGAAGUUUAGGUCUGUCAAGGUAGUGUAAUUAAAGUAACUUCAUGAAUCUAACGUUCUCCAUAGUUGGAUCCAUGAGAUGCUUAUAGGACAGGGCUAAUUAGCCACCAGAAGCCUCAUGUUGGAUUCAUGGGCAAAUAGUACUGUGAGAAGUAAUUGUGUAGCUGAGUUCUUGUACAUUGGGUGCAUAGAGUUCAAAGAAGCAAUGCAAAGGGAAACCUGGAAGCAGUAAAAGGCCUUUUAUUUUACUGUAUUUGUUGUUUCCUUAGAUAAUCUUGGAUAUCAGCUGUUAUUGUGCUGAUCCUCUAAGAAUUUAAACAUUGUUGUAUAAUUUUCAAGACUCACAAAGUUGUAAAGUGGACUGUUAAUUUUUGUUUUAUCCAUUCAGUUAUUAGUAAGCCCGUAAAGUUGGGAUGCUUAGUUUGUGUCAUGAAUGAAGUUGGAUAACUAUAUACAGUCAAAACCUGGUGUUAGGGUCACAACUAGGCCCGACCUGGGGCCUAUUCAAUAUAAGUCAGACUAGGUCAUUUGGGCUUAGGCAUUUGGAUUUCACGAAUUGACCCAACAAAAUUUGAUUCAUCUAAUUCCAAUCUUUGUUUAAUAUGGUUUGAGUUUUAAAUUGUUAUUUUCAAUUUCCAAGCCAGUUUGAUCUCAAUUUUUCAUAAGAACGCUUGAAUUUAACUGAAUCUUCAGUCACCAGUAUUAGUGUUAGGCUAUUUUGAGCUUAAGCCCAACCUGGGCUAUGAGAUCUUAUAUUCGUAACCGCAAAUUUUAUUUUCUAGGCUAUUCGUGAGCCCAACUUCAGCUCUCAAAGCUGAUUUAGCAAUGGUUUGUCGAUGGCCCAUUUCCCCUUUGGCCCAAAGCAUUUGAUACGGCUUCAUAAUUAUUCCGCGCUGUUUGAGCUUCACUUAGUCUCCAAUAAGAACAUCUUAGGUAACUUAAUUAAACCCUCCUAGCAAAACAUUUGAAGUGUGCCAUAUUUCAAAACUCUUAAGCUUGUGGCUCUUAUACCAGUCUCGUAACUUAGACUUAACAAAUAUCUAAAAAUCGUAGUUUGCCUUAGGCUUGAUUUGGACUAGUAUUGUGAUUGUAUAUACGUUCGCGUAAUACAAUUGCAAAUUAAAUUCUCUAAAAGAUUUGAGGGAUGCGUUCGUGCAACUUCAACUAAACUCUCUUAUUAAAUAAGCGAAGAAUUAUUAAUUGUAGACAUGUUGGCGUGACAUGAUUUUUGAUGCACCAAAGGAAAUGAGUAUACGUACGCGUAACUCGUUUCUUCAAGUACGAAUAAUUUAAGUGA
rnacentral:lncRNA from 1 species